rnacentral:lncRNA from 10 species
AAAAUUUCUGCUAAAUAUAAUACUAAUAAAUGUGGAUAAAAUAGAACAUAGUUGUUAAUUGAGGUUAUUAUCCCUUAAUAUGAAUAUUUACAAAGUGUUAUGAACUAGCAGGUGUGACUUUGAAUUAUGGGUCAGCAAAUAUCUCUCUUUCCAACCUGCCCGGACUACCAAAUGCAGAAACAAGCCCAGUAGCAGCAGCUGCUCCGAGCUUGCCCACACACCUGCAUCCUAGUGGCAGACAAAUAUCCUGGAAGCCUUUGUGUCCACACACUCAUACCUACAUGACAUACACUUAGAGGUUUGCUUAGUGUCUGUCAAGGGUUUUCUUCCCUUUGCCAUCUAUUUGGAUCUGUGUACAGCUUUGUCUACCAUGGUUGCUCAGCAAAUAUUGGUGGUGGUUGUUGUU